UACGGGGGGGGCAAGCGUUGUUCGGAAUUACUGGGCGUAAAGGGCGCGUAGGCGGUUUGCUAAGUUGGAUGUGAAAACUCUGGGCUUAACCCAGAGCCUGCAUCCAAAACUGGCAAACUUGAGUACUGGAGGGGAAAGCGGAAUUCCUGGUGUAGCGGUGAAAUGCGUAGAUAUCAGGAGGAACACCGGUGGCGAAGGCGGCUUUCUGGACAGUAACUGACGCUGAGGCGCGAAAGCGUAGGGGAGCAAACAGGAUUAGA
rnacentral:rRNA from 1 species